CAGGGUGAUGGACUGCCUUUUGCAUAAUGAGCCUGCGAGUUGUGGUGUCUGGCAAGGUUAAGCCAAGUGCGAAGCCGUAGCGAAAGCGAGUCUUAAUAGGGCGAAAUAGUCAGAUGCUGCAGACCCGAAACGAAGUGAUCUAUCCAUGAGCAGGUUGAAGCUGGUGUAAGAGCCAGUGGAGGACCGAACCCGCUGACGUUGAAAAGUCUUGGGAUGACUUGUGGAUAGGGGUGAAAGGCCAAUCAAACUUCGUGAUAGCUGGUUCUCUCCGAAAUAUAUUUAGGUAUAGCCUUGUGUUGUAGCAUAUAGGGGUAGAGCACUGAAUGGGCUAGGGCUGCUUACCGCGGUACCAAACCCUAUCAAACUAUGAAUACUAUAUGUGGAAUCACAGGAGUCAGGCGGUGGGUGAUAAAAUCCGUCGUCAAGAGGGGAACAACCCAGACUAACAGCUAAGGUCCCUAAGUUACAUCUAAGUGGAAAACGAUGUGGAGUUACUGUGACAACCAGGAGGUUGGCUUAGAAGCAGCCAUCCUUUAAAGAAAGCGUAACAGCUCACUGGUCUAGUGAUUCUGCGCGGAAAAUAUAACGGGGCUAAGAUGUACACCGAAGCUUUAGAGAAGGUAUACCGGUAAGGAGUGCUGGAGCGGAUAGAAGUGAGCAUGCAGGCAUGAGUAGCGAUAAUUAAGGUGAGAAUCCUUAACGCCGAAAACCCAAGGUUUCCUACGCGAUGCUCGUCAUCGUAGGGUUAGUCGGGUCCUAAGUCGAGACUGAAAAGUGUAGACGAUGGCAAAUUGGUUAAUAUUCCAAUACCAACAUAUAAGCGCGAUGUGGGGACGCAUAGAGUUAGUCGAGCUCACUGAUGGAAUAGUGGGUCGAAGGAUGUAGGUUGUUAAGUAGGCAAAUCCGCUUAACGUUAGACCGAGAUCUUACAGGCUCUUGACACUCUUCGGAGGAGAUGGAGAAUCGAUGAUACUGUCGUGCCAAGAAAAGCCACUAAGUUUAUUAUAUGUUGCCCGUACCGUAAACCGACACAGGUGGGUGGGAUGAGUAUUCUAAGGCGCGUGGAAGAACCCUCUUUAAGGAACUCUGCAAAAUAGCACCGUAUCUUCGGUAUAAGGUGUGCCUACUUUGGUAUAUGAACUUGCUUCAAAAAGCUAGAGAGGUUGCAACAAAGAGUCCCUCCCGACUGUUUACCAAAAACACAGCACUUUGCUAACACGUAAGUGGAUGUAUAAGGUGUGACGCCUGCCCGGUGCUCGAAGGUUAAUUGAUGAUGUCAGCGCAAGCGAAGCAUUUGAUCGAAGCCCGAGUAAACGGCGGCCGUAACUAUAACGGUCCUAAGGUAGCGAAAUUCCUUGUCAGUUAAAUACUGACCUGCAUGAAUGGCGUAACGAGAUGGGAGCUGUCUCAAAGAGGGAUCCAGUGAAAUUGUAGUGGAGGUGAAAAUUCCUCCUACCCGCGGAAAGACGGAAAGACCCCGUGCACCUUUACUACAGCUUGACACUGUAGCUUGGAUAUUCAUGUGCAGGAUAGGUGGGAGGCUAUGAUGACUAGACGCAAGUAGAGUCGGAGCCAUCCUUGAGAUACCACCCUUGAAUAUUUGAGUUACUAACUGCGAUGAGUUAUCCUCAUUCAGGACAAUGUCUGGUGGGUAGUUUGACUGGGGCGGUCGCCUCCUAAAUAGUAACGGAGGCUUACAAAGGUUAGUUCAAAGCGGAUGGAAAUCGCUUGUUGAGUAUAAUGGCAUAAACUAGCUUGACUGUGAGACCUACAAGUCGAACAGAGACGAAAGUCGGUCAUAGUGAUCCGGUGGUUCUGCGUGGAAGGGCCAUCGCUCAAAGGAUAAAAGGUACGCCGGGGAUAACAGGCUGAUCUCCCCCAAGAGCUCACAUCGACGGGGAGGUUUGGCACCUCGAUGUCGGCUCAUCGCAUCCUGGGGCUGUAGUCGGUCCCAAGGGUAUGGCUGUUCGCCAUUUAAAGCGGUACGCGAGCUGGGUUCAGAACGUCGUGAGACAGUUCGGUCCCUAUCUUCCGUGGGCGUAGGAAAGUUGAAGAGAUUUGUCCCUAGUACGAGAGGACCGGGAUGAACCAACCACUGGGUGUACCAAUUGUUCUGCCAAGAGCAUCGUUGGGUAGCCACGUUGGGAUGUGAUAAGAGCUGAAAGCAUCUAAGCUCGAAGCCAACUCUAAGAUUAACUUUCCCUGAAGUUCCCAGUAAGACUAACUGGUUGAUAGGCUAGAUGUGUAAGCGCUGUAAGGCGUUUAGCUGACUAGUACUAAUAGAACGUUUGGCUUAUUUAA
rfam:Arcobacter cryaerophilus strain AZT-1 contig090, whole genome shotgun sequence.